UGCAAGGAGGGAGAUGAGAAAUAGGGUGCAAAUGGGUGGCAUGAGGGAAGGGCUAGAUCAAAAUAGGCCUCUGGACCCUUGGAGAGCCGCUGACUUCAGCAACAUUUAAGCUGAACGAACAAGCUCUGCAUGGAGAGACUACCUCCGUACUGAUGGUGCAAAGUACCGCCGCCUCCGUGCUGCUGUUGCGACAGAGGUCUUGGUGGCAGCUUUACAUUCAUUUCUCUCUUCCUGUGGAGAAGGAAGCUUCUAUGGGGAAUAUGUACCUAGGAGUAUAGUUAUGGUGGUUUUCUCUUAACAGAAGCCAUGUGAUUUCUGUUAAAGAAGUAGGGAAAGCAACUCAGUUGCUAAUGCACUAAUUUUUUGAGAGUGUCUAGAUGAGUUGAGGUUUACUAAGCAUUUUUAAAAGACUUGCAAAGUCAAGUUCUGACAGUAAUGUACUGGGCAACUCCAGUGCUGCUGUUAAUGUUGAUGUAAUUGUAUUAAGCAACAGAACAAAGCAUCCUGAAUGCAUAAAUGAUACCUGACCGUAUAGAAGUCACAAAUCAGUAUGUAAGUCCAAAGGUUGAUUUAAUAAAGUUGGUGUUCCUUGAAAAAAUCUUUUCUUGUCUGUCUUUAGACCGUCAUGGCUUUAGUAACACUAUUACAGUUAAAAAGCAGAUAAACAGGAAUGUUUGUAUAACGCGGAUCAGUUUCGUAGGUUUGUUUUAGAGCAAUAAACCUGAUAAAUGGGUAUGUAUUUGGCUACUAAGGACAGGAGGGUUAGAAGAAGCAGUCAAAUCCAAGUUGGUAUUCUGCAGCCAUCUGCAGGAACACAAUAAAAUCUGCCAGGUAACUGCUGAGCCUGUCACCAUUGUGGGCUUAACGCCUGUUAGUCAGCUAGGCAUUAAAGAGCAAUUUAAUAUUCCAAGAGUAAUUACAGCUGUUCGGAACUGUGAGGCUUAGAUGUGGGUGGUUCUGUGCGGGUCUCAGAGCUGCCGUGGAGUUGGCCAAAUCCAAGUUUGGCAGGGACAGGGCGUUGCGCAGCGUGGUGUGGGGAGAGGUGGAGUGGAAGGCAGCCAGGGCCUGGCAGGCAGGCAUCUGGUGGCCGUUCUGGAGAGAGGAAGAGGGAUUAACUCUGGGAGAAGGAGGUGUAGAGGCCCUGGAGCGGCGUGCGUGCAGGCAACUCGGUUGUGCUGUCCAGCAGUUGGUGAAUCCUUCUGGGCUAGAGCGGAGGAUGGUGCAGAACUUGCCCAAGAGCUCUGCAGUGCUGGCGGGUGAGUCGGCAUCAGUCAGUCUUCUGUCCCAGGUCUGCCCAGCUCCUCACUGAGCAGCAGACAGAUAAUUUGGAAA